CGUAGGUGGCAAGCGUUGUCCGGAAUUAUUGGGCGUAAAGCGCGCGCAGGCGGUUCCUUAAGUCUGAUGUGAAAGCCCCCGGCUCAACCGGGGAAGGUCAGUUGGAAACUGGGGAACUUGAGUGCAGAAGAGAAGAGCGGAAUUCCACGUGUAGCGGUGAAAUGCGUAGAGAUGUGGAGGAACACCAGUGGCGAAGGCGGCUCUUUGGUCUGUAACUGACGCUGAGGCGCGAAAGCGUGGGGAGCAAACAGGAUUAGAUACCCUGGUAGUCCACGCCGUAAACGAUGAGUGCUAAGUGUUAGAGGGUUUCCGCCCUUUAGUGCUGCAGCUAACGCAUUAAGCACUCCGCCUGGGGAGUACGGCCGCAAGGCUG
rnacentral:rRNA from 1 species